rnacentral:lncRNA from 1 species
GCUAUAUUGGUCACUGAUUUGUUUUUGUUUUGUUUUUGAAUGUCAGAAAUUUAUAUUUGUGAAUGUUGAGAUGUUAUAUUGGUUUCACUGGUAAUAAUAAAUAAUUGAAAUGGGUAUAUAUUUGUUUUUUAAGUUGCCUAAUAAUUAUGCACAGUAAUAGUCACCUGCACACACAGAUAUCCCCCUAACAUAGCUAAAACUAAAAACAAAUUAAAAACUACUUCCAAAAAUAUUCAGCUUUGAUAUUAAUGAGUUUUUUUGGGUUCAUUG